rnacentral:lncRNA from 1 species
AACCCAUUGAAACCCAUUGGGACCCAUUGGCACCCAUUGGCACCCAUUGGCCCUCAUUGGCACCCAUUGGCCCUCAUUGCCCCCCAUUGGCACCCAUUGGCCCCCAUUGGCACCCAUAGAACCCAUUGGCACCCAUUGGCACCCAUUGGCGCCUAUGGGCACCCAUUGCCCCCCACUGCCACCCUACUGGCCCCCAUUGGCACCCAAUGUAAUCCACGGGCACCCAUCGGCACCCAUGGGCACCCAUCACUAAAAUGGGGGGGAAAUUGGAACAUUUUGGGGGGAAAUCAGAGCAUUUUGGAGGGAAAUCGGAGUUUUUGGGGGGAAAUGGGAGCUUUUUUGUGGGAAAUCAGAGCUUUUUGGGGGGAAAUCAGGGUGUUUUGGAGGGAAAUCAGAGCUUUUUGGGGAGAAAUGGGAGGUUUUUGGGGGGAAAUCAGGGCAUUUUGGGGGGAAAUCGGAGCAUUUGUGGGGAGAUUAGAGUUUUUUGGGGGGAAAUCAGGG